rnacentral:misc_RNA from 1 species
GAUGAAGAACGUAGUGAAAUGCGAUAAGUAGUGUGAAUUGCAGAAUUCAGUGAAUCAUCGAAUCUUUGAACGCACAUUGCGCCCCUUGGUAUUCCAUGGGGCAUGCCUGUUCGAGCGUCAUUUGUACCCUCAAGCUUUGCUUGGUGUUGGGCGUCUUGUCUUGUAUUAGACUCGCCUUAAAGUCAUUGGCAGCCAGUGUUUUUGGUAGUAAGCGCAGCACAUUUUGCGUCUUAGUCCUUGAAUCGUGGCAUCCAUGAAGCCUUUUUUCACUUUUGACCUCGGAUCAGGUAGGGAUACCCGCUGAACUUAAGCAUAUCAAUAAGCGGAGGA